UGACUAACCUCUUCUUGCUGGCUGAGUGAUUCCAAUCUGCCACUGAUAUCUACCACUUUCUCUCUCUGCCAGAGUCCUAUCUGAGCAGGGCACGUGGCAGUUGCAAUAUUAGUGAGAAGAGGAAAAGGAAAGACUGAGCCAUGUUGAUGCUUCCGCGAGGUCAUAGGAAGAACAUACAUGGGGUGUCUAUUCAGGGACAGCCCCUCAGAAGCCAGAGUCUUAACCAAGGCUCUUUAUUGAUCUGCUCCCUGAAGCCUCAGGAGGCAAUAGCUGAAGUAAACCAACAUCUCCCUAUUUUCAUUUUGUGGAGGUCAGCAGAAGGGGCCAUUGUCCCAACGGCUUCACAAGAUAAAGCAAUCGUGAAUGUAAAUGGAUACCACUGCAGUACAGAGGCUGAUGGCUAAGACCAUGAAGUGCACCUCAUGAGAGACUACUUACAGCCUAUAUGUUCAUCCAUCCUGGUGUUUGUGAAAUCUUAGGGCUCAGAGAGAGCUUGUGAGCCAACUAGUCCAAUCUCCCUUUCCAUGCAGGAAUGAUCAUCUCCUCUAUGCUAGAAUAAUUCUAUCAUAGAAUUAUGUAGCUCAUAACAGCCCAUUCCAUUUCUGAAUAACAGCAAAUGUUAGUAAGUUAUUCAAUUAUUUUGAGCUCUUCCUCAAUGUGAACUAUGGCAUAGUAGAUAGAGAGAUGACUUCAAAAGAGCUGGUGUAUAUUGGCUCUGUGAUCUUGGACAAGUUAUUUAAUAUCUUAGUGAGACAAACUGUCUAAGACAAUGUUACAGAGAAGGUGCUAUCCUUCAUUGAAUUUCCUUAUCUGGGAGUUCUCAAUAUCAAUCAGUACUUAUAUAUGGAAUUCUUAUUUGGGCUAUUUAAAAAAAUAUCUUUUACUUUCUAGAUGUGUGAGCCUCUGAAAGUGUCUUACCUCUUUAAAUCUCAGUUUCCCAUCUCUAAAAUGAAGGUAUUUUAUCACAUGAUAUCUAGGGUACCUUCCAGUGUUGCAUCCCAUGAUGCUAUAGCUUGGAUCGCCUUCUAUUUCCCCACAUUGGUACCAGUUCUGGUCCUUGGAAGUAUGCAGAAUAAAUCUGACCAUUCUUCCCUAUGAUAAGCCUUC
rnacentral:lncRNA from 1 species